rnacentral:misc_RNA from 1 species
GAAAGACCCUGUCUCGAAAGAAAAAGGAAUGAAAGAGAGAGAGAAAGAAAACAAGAGAAAAGGAGACUUGGAUUACUUAUAAAUGUAUAUUGUGAAAUUUAGGGCAGCAACUAAAAAUUUUUUUAAAGAGAAGGAUUGAGUGCAGUGGCUCACACCUGUAAUCGCAGCACUUUGGGAAGCCCAGGCGAGUGGAUCACCUGAGGUCGGGAGUUCAAGACCAGCCUGACCA